UACGUAGGGGGCAAGCGUUUGUCCGGAAUCAUUGGGCGUAAAGCGCGCGUAGGCGGCCAGACAAGUCCGGUGUGAAAGUCACAGGCUCAACCUGUGAAUGCCGCUGGGAAAACUGUCUGGCUAGAGUCCGGAAGGGGCGAGUGGAAUUCCUGGUGUAGCGGUGAAAUGCGUAGAUAUCCGGAGGAACACCGGUGGCGAAGGCGGCUUCCUGGACCGACACUGACGGCUGAGGCGCGAAAGCUAGGGGAGCAAACGGG
rnacentral:rRNA from 1 species